GAUGAACGCUGGCGGCGUGCCUAAUACAUGCAAGUCGAGCGAACAGACGAGGAGCUUGCUCCUCUGACGUUAGCGGCGGACGGGUGAGUAACACCUCGUUAACCUCCCUAUACGACUUGGAUAACUUCGGGAAACCGGAGCUACUACCGGAUAAUAUAUUGAACCUCAUGCUUCAUUAGUGUAGGAAGGUUUUUCUGUCACUUAUAGAUGGGUCCGCGGCGCAUUAGCUAGUUGGUGGGGUAACGGCUUACCAAGGCGACGAUGCGUAGCCGACCUGAGAGGAGGAUCGGCGAUACUAGAACGGAGGCACGGUCGAGACGACUACGGGAGGCAGCAGUAGGGGAUAUUACGCAAUGGGCGGAGGCCUGACGGAGCAGCGCCGCGUGAGGGGUGAAGGUCUUCGGAUCGUAAAGCUCUGUUAUUGGGAGAGAAGAAAGGUGUAAGUAACUAUGCGCGUCUUGACGGUACCUAAACAGAAAGCCACGGCUAACUACGUG
rnacentral:rRNA from 1 species